rnacentral:rRNA from 1 species
GAUGAACGCUGGCGGCGUGCUUAACACAUGCAAGUCGAACGAAGAUGCCGGAGUGCUUGCACUUUGGCAGACUGAGUGGCGGACGGGUGAGUAACGCGUGGGUAACCUGCCUUAUACAGGGGGAUAACAGUUGGAAACGACUGCUAAUACCGCAUAAGCGCACGGUAUCGCAUGAUACAGUGUGAAAAACUCCGGUGGUAUAAGAUGGACCCGCGUCUGAUUAGCCAGUUGGCGGGGUAACGGCCCACCAAAGCGACGAUCAGUAGCCGACCUGAGAGGGUGACCGGCCACAUUGGGACUGAGACACGGCCCAAACUCCUACGGGAGGCAGCAGUGGGGAAUAUUGCACAAUGGAGGAAACUCCGAUGCAGCGACGCCGCGUGAGCGAAGAAGUAUUUCGGUAUGUAAAGCUCUGUCAGCAGGGAAGAUAAUGACGGUACCUGACCAAGAAGCCCCGGCUAACUACGUG